rnacentral:lncRNA from 1 species
GUCCUCCUUCAUGCGUUUGAUGAUGAAGCCCUUCUUCUCCCGCAGAGCCUUCUCAAACCGGUGCUCCUGCUCGGCCGUGGCCGGGUCCAACUCCACGCGGGCCGCCUCGUAUUCAUCCUCACUGUUGUAUCCUCCUCCGGCCUCGUCGGGCCCGGGGCUGCCCCCGGAGCCCAACCCCAGCCCCAGCGCCAGGCCCCCGCCGCCGGGCCCGGAGCCGCCCCCCGCGCUGGGCCCGGCCCCUCCGCGCCGCCGCCGUUUGCUGUGCCCGGGGCCUCCCCUCCUCCUCCUCCUCCCC